rnacentral:rRNA from 1 species
CCUACGGGGAGCAGCAGUGGGGGAUAUUGCACAAUGGGGGAAACCCUGAUGCAGCGACGCCGCGUGGGUGAAGAAGCGCCUCGGCGCGUAAAGCCCUGUCAGCAGGGAAGAAAAUGACGGUACCUGAAGAAGACGCCCCGGCUAACUACGUGCCAGCAGCCGCGGUAAUACGUAGGGGGCAAGCGUUAUCCGGAUUUACUGGGUGUAAAGGGGGCGCAGACGGCGAUGCAAGCCAGGAGUGAAAGCCCGGGGCCCAACCCCGGGACUGCUCUUGGAACUGCGUGGCUAGAGUGCAGGAGGGGCAGGCGGAAUUCCUGGUGUAGCGGUGAAAUGCGUAGAUAGCAGGAGGAACACCGGUGGCGAAGGCGGCCUGCUGGACUGCAACUGACGUUGAGGCCCGAAAGCGUGGGGAGCAAACAGGAUUAGAUACCCGAGUAGUC